rnacentral:rRNA from 1 species
AACGAACGCUGGCGGCAUGCCUAACACAUGCAAGUCGAACGAUCCCUUCGGGGAUAGUGGCGCACGGGUGCGUAACGCGUGGGAACCUGCCCUUAGGUUCGGAAUAACUCAGAGAAAUUUGAGCUAAUACCGGAUAAUGUCUUCGGACCAAAGAUUUAUCGCCUUUGGAUGGGCCCGCGUUGGAUUAGCUAGUUGGUGGGGUAAAGGCCUACCAAGGGGACGAUCCAUAGCUGGUCUGAGAGGAUGGUCAGCCACACUGGGACUGAGACACGGCCCGGACUCUUACGGGAGGCGGCAGGGGGGAAUAUUGGAAAAUGGGCGAAAGGCUGAUCCAGCAAUGCCGCGUGAGUGAUGAAGGCCUUAGGGUUGUAAAGCUCUUUUAACCGGGAUGAUAAUGACAGUACCGGGAGAAUAAGCCCCGGCUAACUCCGUG